AGAAGCUUAGGAUUAAAUUUCAAACCAGUGGCCUUCAACACCACAAACAAGACUAAAGCUCUUAGCUUCUG
rnacentral:tRNA from 1 species